CCGACCUUAGCUCAGUUGGUAGAGCGGAGGACUGUAGUAUGUGCAGAUAAAUCCUUAGGUCGCUGGUUCGAAUCCGGCAGGUCGGA
rfam:Oryza sativa Japonica Group DNA, chromosome 2, cultivar: Nipponbare, complete sequence.